GGAAAUGGAAAUAAAAUAGAGGUCAGGAACGAGUGGGACAGUUUCAGUCCAAUGUAAUGUGAGUAAUUUCAAUCUUUUUCUUAAAUCUUUUUUUUUUUUUCUGUGACGGUUCGAAGAGAUAAGGAACAAAUUUUCAGUCAAGUAUUUUGUAGAUAGAUAGAUAGAUAGAUAGAUAGAUAGAUAGAUAGAUGUGGAAGGUGCAUGAUUGGCUGUUUUUCCUCAGAUGUAGGAGACUCACGACACGACUCAAAGUUUGUCUGCACUGAUCCUUUGAAUUUCAGCUCCUGCAGACCGAGCUCGGGUACAGUUGGUACUGUUAGCUUACAGUGACUCAUGUAUUGACAGAAGCAUUUACACUCCAUUUAUUUAAGCUGUUUUAAAAAAAAUAUAUCUGCUCUGACAGGUGUCACUGUGGGUGUCUCCUGUCUGUAUAUCAGAGAGGGGAAUAGAGGGGAGGCGGGGCAGGGAGGAGGGGAGGGGAGUGGAGGGGGUGAGGUGGUGGGUGGAGUGGGUGAAGGUCUCUUGUCUCUGUCCUGGCCCGCUCAGACUGGUUCCUUGAUGAGAUCAGAAUUUGGACAGGGCUGCAUGAGCGGCUGGUUCAAUACUGCCAUCUUCUGGACAAAGGUGUGUGUAGCUCUGAAGUGAAAGGUGAAUAAAUGUGUGUUUUGGAGCUGAGUUAGAGGGUCAAGUCUUCAUGAUUAAGUUUGCAUGACGUGUGAAAAGGCUUCACUGUAAAUGGCUUCAUGCAAAUCAGACUCUAUCAGUGAAAAUGUCAAAACAGAUAUUUAGAAAACCAAAUAAAAGGUCCAAGACGUGCAAAACAGAGCCAAAGUUGAGUUGUUGUUGUACUUCAGUUACUGUUUCUGUUUUGUUUCUCUACAAUAAGGAUAUUAAAUAUGUUUUUGCACUACUAGAGGGGCUUAUUUGCAUCACUGCAGUAAUUAUUGUUUUGAAAAUGCAACUUAGGGUGGCUCAAGCUUAAAGCAGCUGUGAGUAACGAGGUUUGUGUUGGUUCUGGCGCCCCCUGUGGACAAAGUGAUACCUGAAACCGACCCUAAACCAGCUGUUAAAAACUGCGACAAAGCCACACUGCUGUCAGUUUUGUUUACUUUUGACGGUCAUAAAGAGGCACCAGUAUCAGUCUGUUUCUCAGCCAGUCAAAAACUCCUCACAGUGCCUUUAAUUUAAACACCAAUGGGCCAAUGCAAGUAUGCAGCAGUUUGAUCUAGACUACAGUAUUUUACUAAAUACAUCUCCCAUCUAACACAGAGAAACUAGUCCAUUCAUUCAUCUUAACCAGGCUGGAUCACUACAAGGCAGGAUAAAUUAGUCUGUAGGGCGCCUCUGACUAAUCCAGGAUCCUGACACUCACCAGAAAAGUAAACCUUUCACUCUAUCAAUAUCUACUGAAUUUCCCUUCAGGGAUCAGUAAAGUUCUUCUUCUUCUAUCACCCAAAACACUUCGUCAGGUUCCUGAAUCACUUUGAGAAUCCUGUUAUUAGUGGUUGAAGUGCUUUACCUGAUCCAGCCCCAAAGGUGAUCAGGUGACAGUCUGUUAACCGAUACCCAAAUCAGAUUAAAACCAGAAGAGGGGCCUUGAGUUACUGCGGUCCCUCUCUCUAGAGCAACUGCCUAACCAUCACUUUAAAAAGGAAGUAUUUAGCAGCCAUCUGAGAGAUGAUUUAACACCUUUAAAAACUGACAUCCAAGAUUGUGAAUCCAAAAACAUCAUCAGAGCCUCUUCAGAUUACAAAUCAACUGAACUUUUGGAUUAACUAACCAUCUUUAACCUGUUAUCAUUCAAUCCUGUAUGACCAGAAGUAGUGUACUUUAAAAUAAAAGUUUCUAAAAAGAUUUUUACAGUGAAAUAAAAUGGCUAGUGCUAUGUUAAAGAAAUAAACAUCAAAUCUCCCUCAAACCUCUCACACUCCUUUUCCUCCACCACAUCUAGUACCAUCUAAAACUUCUGAAUGUGAAGCGAGGGCAGGAAGUGAGACCCUCCAGCAGCAGGACUGUUACGACAUCCAGAUCACGUUAAUUUUUGCAUCCUUUCAUUGCUUCUCCACUGACCCGGAAACCGAUGAAGGAUCCUCCAGUUUCUUGGGUGCACCUGAAGGACAUAAGGAUCAAGGAGAGAGGAGGCACUUUGGAGGAGCUCAGAGGGAGGAUACACAGGUGGAUCCUCAGCAGAAGUCUUUCCACCAGAGACAUGAAGGGAUCUGAGCGGAGGUGUGACAUUUCAGCAAACGCUGCUCGUCUGCACACAGACCUCGAUUAUUUCUGCACGUUCCUCUCACUGCACUGAUUUGCAGAGAGAUUAGCAGCUCAAAACACUGUGACAGCGCAAUAUACCAAUACACAGUAUAAAUAUUUACAUGAUGAUUUAAUAAUAAAGUGUUAUGAAGCGUCUUGAAGCUGCAGUUGGUAUUUUGCUCUCACUUUUUUAACAGUAAUAAAAAUAUCGACUCACACAGCUCUGCUAUGUUUACAUAUCAAAUAAAGAGCUGCAGGAAUCAAACCAAGUCACACUGAUCUGUUGAAACAUUUGAAGAUUUUAACUUUAGAUUAAAUUUAUCUAAUUAACAGCUGAAGUGUGUUGACUGAGUCUCUCUUUCCUUCAGUCCUCACUUAGAGGAGCCAAGACACCAUGAAACGACCUGAGCAAAGGACGCAAGAAGACAGAUAGAGGGAUUAAGAAGUGACCCGUGUCUGCAACUACAGAGAUUCAUUAAAGUGUUUUUAUUUUUCAUCAUGGAGGACGCUUUUACUACCUGAUCAGCUGCUUCAAACAAAAUGAAAUAGUUUGGACACAAAAAUGAAAAAUGUAAAAUUUUGAUCUGGAUUGGAUUCAGUGAUUUCCCCGUCUUUGAAAUAGUACAUGUGUAUAUUUAUUAUGAUGUGUUUUAAAUUGACACAGACUGUAAACAGAGUUAGUGGGUGCUGAUGGACAAGAGGUCAAAGGGGCACUGAGCCGAAUCUUAUCUGAACAGGGAUAAACCGGACACGGAUCUGCCAGAACUGAGCGAGCAGUCUUGGUCUUAUCAGUCAAAUCGUCAUUAAUCAGAAAAGCUUUUUAAAAAAUUCAUGAUAUGAAAUCUCAACAGGAUGUGAAGGGUGCUUCUUAAAGCUGCGAGUGUUCAGUCCAAGGUUGACUUUAUCUAGUUUUAUUUGGAGAUGUCAGCGCUGCGAUGAAGGACAUUUAUUUUUGAUGAGCAGCUGUACAGAGCUCUGUAAAUGAGGAAACACUCGGGUGAGUUUCAAUAAAGAAAAAUGAGCCGAGGUUGAGCUUUGUUACAUUCAUUCCUAUAGACAUGAGCAGCUUUAAAAUGAAAUAAUACAGCAUAUCAAUAUCUGAGUUGAACGCUUCUAAUAAACCACACGCUCGCUUUGUUGACUCUCUUGUUAAUGAUCUUUGUGAAUCGGCCUUUAAAGCUCAUUUCUGUUUCACAUAAACGAAUCAAAGCCGUCCUAUAAUUAUAACUCCUCUCUGUCAGCUCGAUUAGCAGUCUGCGAGUGUUUGUGUCUGCUUUCUGUCAGAGUUUCGGAUUUCUGAUUGUUGGGGGAGCAGAAACUCGUCUGAGUCAGCCUGUGGCAGCAGAAAGGCUGCAGAUAAAGGAUGGGCCGAGAAUGUGAAUUAAUCCGUAAUGAGAAGGUUUGAUUUUUAAAGUCUCACCAUGCCGGGGAAGAAAGAUGUGUUUUCAGUUUGAAACCUCUGUUUUGUGAUGUUGUACUGUAUCUCCUGUGGUUAUUUUUUUCCUGGUAAAUCAAUGAACAUCGUUAAACCUUGACAUCAAGCUCUUGGCUGGUGGUCUUAUGUUUGUUUUUUUGUUUGUUUUUUGACUUGAAAGUUUGAGAACUUUUUGCAAUUAUCAGCAUACACAAACUCAAAAACAAGCGAACUGAAACAUAUUGACAAGUUGUUGUUUUUCAUGUUUCCACCCUCUGGGAGUAAAUCAGCAACAAUAUAUCUGUAAAAACACCGCAGCAUCAAAAGACAGCACUACUCCAGGGUGUCUUCACCACGUAUUUAUGGUACGGUAUAUGAGAAGUUAGAGGAGGGCCUAUAUGAGAUGGAUGCAGUGGAGGAAAACAACCUUGGAUGGAUCAUCCCACUGCUAAGCUCAGGGUUCAACUCACUCUGGGACUAUUACUGUCAAAAAUGACUCAGUCUAAUGUCAAGUCAGACUGAAACCUCCAGAUACUGAAGAUACAGAAGCGCCCACAUGUCAACAGAGCAGAAAAAUCCCUUCUGAUUUUUAGAGACACUUCAAUCCAAGAUUUUUAGGACUGAUACUGAAAUGAUAACUGACCACGGAGCAGAGAGAGGACGGUGAUUUUUGGCUGUAAGUUUGGCUCCAUAUCAGAAUAAGGUGGAAUGAUAUUCGACUCAAUGUAAGCUGUGAUCCUCUUACUCACCAGUGCGGCCUCUCUGUGAGCUGAGAGCUGAUCUGGAACCAGCUGAUCUUUGCUCCACCACCAGGACACCAACAUAUUGCAGGAGGAUGUGUGAAGAAACAAACUGAGCGCUCUCCGGCUCUCCGGGGCCAAGGUCCUGCUCCAGUGUUCCCGGGACUCUGCACCAUCUGUUAAAUAGGAAAAUAUUAGUGAUAUUUUGGGGGGAAAUGCUGCUUUGAGGCUGGGUACCAUACCUGCUUCAGGAGGAAUUUACAAA